UACGUAGGGUGCGAGCGUUAAUCGGAAUUACUGGGCGUAAAGCGUGCGCAGGCGGUUUGUUGUGUCGGCGGUGAAAGCCCCGGGCUUAACCUGGGAAUGGCCGUUGAAACUGGCGAACUGGAGUGUGGCAGAGGGGGGCGGAAUUCCGCGUGUAGCAGUGAAAUGCGUAGAGAUGCGGAGGAACACCGAUGGCGAAGGCAGCCCCCUGGGCUAACACUGACGCUCAGGCACGAAAGCGUGGGGAGCAAACAGG
rnacentral:rRNA from 1 species